rnacentral:misc_RNA from 1 species
UUAAGUUCAGCGGGUAUCCCCACCUGAUCCGAGGCCAACCUUGUAUGAUUUGGGUUCGGGGCGACCGGCCGCCGGGCGCUCCGAGCGAGGGAUUUCUCUUGCUACACUCGGGGCCUGGCGACGGCGCCCACGGGUUUCGGGCCGUCCGCGGGGACGGGGCCCAUCACAGAGCAGGGCUCCAGGGUAGAAAUGGCGCUCGA